rnacentral:rRNA from 1 species
CUACGGGGGGCUGCAGUGGGGAAUAUUGCACAAUGGGCGCAAGCCUGAUGCAGCCAUGCCGCGUGUAUGAAGAAGGCCUUCGGGCUGUAAAGUACUUUCAGCGGGGAGGAAGGGAGUAAAGUUAAUACCUUUGCUCAUUGACGUUACCCGCAGAAGAAGCACCGGCUAACUCCGUGCCAGCAGCCGCGGUAAUACGGAGGGUGCAAGCGUUAAUCGGAAUUACUGGGCGUAAAGCGCACGCAGGCGGUUUGUUAAGUCAGAUGUGAAAUCCCCGGGCUCAACCUGGGAACUGCAUCUGAUACUGGCAAGCUUGAGUCUCGUAGAGGGGGGUAGAAUUCCAGGUGUAGCGGUGAAAUGCGUAGAGAUCUGGAGGAAUACCGGUGGCGAAGGCGGCCGCCGGGACGAAGACUGACGCUCAGGUGCGAAAGCGUGGGGAGCAAACAGGAUUAGAUACCCGAGUAGUC